AAUACCACAAAGUAAACAUCUGAUUUUCCAUCCAUCCAUCCAUUUUACACCCUUAUCCCAUUGCGGUCGACAGGUGACUCCACAGAUUUUCUCUCACAUUAGUUCUGGACGUCAGCUAAACUCCAUUUGCUGAGACAUAGGGAGUAUAAAAGAGGUUGUUGUCAACUGUCGAACACACCUAGUUGGAAAGGCAAUUCAACUCCAUCAGUGUUCCUGCCUGCCUCCUGGGUGCCUGCCUUUCAUGACUGAUACAUUGUGCAAUUAAAUCCUACGGAUCCUAUUCUACUCCUCUUUGCAAACUAUGGCUUCAGAUAAAACAUCCA